rnacentral:rRNA from 1 species
AUGCAGUCGAGGGGUAUAGUCUUCGGAUUUAGAGACCGGCGCACGGGUGCGUAACGCGUAUGCAAUCUACCUUUUACAGGGGGAUAGCCCAGAGAAAUUUGGAUUAAUACCCCAUGGUAUUAUUGAGUGGCAUCACUUAAUAAUUAAAGUCACAACGGUAAAAGAUGAGCAUGCGUCCCAUUAGCUAGUUGGUAAGGUAACGGCUUACCAAGGCAACGAUGGGUAGGGGUCCUGAGAGGGAGAUCCCCCACACUGGUACUGAGACACGGACCAGACUCCUACGGGAGGCAGCAGUGAGGAAUAUUGGUCAAUGGGCGCAAGCCUGAACCAGCCAUGCCGCGUGCAGGAUGACGGUCCUAUGGAUUGUAAACUGCUUUUGCACAGGAAGAAACACUGAUUCGUGAAUCAGCUUGACGGUACUGUGAGAAUAAGGAUCGGCUAACUCCGUGCCAGCAGCCGCGGUAAUACGGAGGAUCCAAGCGUUAUCCGGAAUCAUUGGGUUUAAAGGGUCCGUAGGCGGUUUGGUAAGUCAGUGGUGAAAGCCCAUCGCUCAACGGUGGAACGGCCAUUGAUACUGCUAAACUUGAAUUAUUAGGAAGUAACUAGAAUAUGUAGUGUAGCGGUGAAAUGCUUAGAGAUUACAUGGAAUACCAAUUGCGAAGGCAGGUUACUACUAAUGGAUUGACGCUGAUGGACGAAAGCGUGGGUAGCGAACAGGAUUAGAUACCCUGGUAGUCCACGCCGUAAACGAUGGAUACUAGCUGUUGGGAGCAAUCUCAGUGGCUAAGCGAAAGUGAUAAGUAUCCCACCUGGGGAGUACGUUCGCAAGAAUGAAACUCAAAGGAAUUGACGGGGGCCCGCACAAGCGGU